GCAUCGGUGGUUCAGUGGUAGAAUUGAAUGCCUGCCACGUGGGAGACCUGGGUCAGAUUCCCGGCCAAUGCA
rnacentral:tRNA from 1 species